UUUGAUCUAUUUUUUCAUCUAAAAAUACAACAAAUUUGGAAAUUAUUUUAUUUUAUUUUUUUGACAAAAUUUUGUUUUGGAAGUAAAUUAAUGAUUGGGUGGUUUGUGAGCUUGAAAAAGGCAUGAUACUAAAUAUGGUUGGCGAGUAUUUGGUUUAUGAGAAAUUGUAUUCUUGUUAGAGUCUCGAAAGAUUUCAUAUCCUUCAUUAAAUAAGUUGUGAAAAUAAUUCUUCCACCUAUCCUUUAUAUCUCAUUCUUGAAGCAAAAAUUGUUUUUGUUACAAAUGUGUUCAAGUAACAUUUUUGGUAAAAAUAUUCCCACAAGUUUCUAAGAGAGACAUUUGUCUUUAUCAUCCUUGAUUGCCUUUAAUUUUUAAAUGCAACCAUUAUAUUUUUUUUUACUAAUCAACCAUUAUAUUUGAAAAUCUCGUAUUUUCAACACUUCUUUUAUCCAUCUCUUCUUAUCACAUCACAAAUCUAUCAUAUAUAUCACACCAUGCUCUCUAUUCUUUUCUCUUUCAAAGUGUAUGUACACCGACAUAAGCUUUACACUAAACAUAUUCCUCGAGUUAUCUUCUCAUAAAGAGGAUAUAACAUAAAUGUAUAGUAAUUAAGUUUAUCUAAUAUGAACCUAAAUACAGUCGAAUCUAUCAUAUAUAUCACACCACCUCUCUUAUCUCUUUCAAUUUAUUAAAAAUUGCAAGAGUUUACUUUAAAACCAUUUUAAUGAUCAUAUUAAAUACAACCAUGAAUAACAUUAAUCGAAGAUGAUUGUUAAGAGUACUCUAUUUUUAACAUUUAUUCUUUUAUCAAAUAAAAUUGAUAGUAUUCUACGUUAAAAAUCUCUAAGAAAAAGUUGGGGAUUCCACGUUGAUUUUACUCAAAACAAAAAUACUAGAUGUUGAAAACAGGAUUCUUAGCAUUUCUUGUAAUUGAAAUUGAAAUUGCAAAACAAAAGUAACAGAAAGAGAAUCUAUGAGUCAUAUGAACGUUGGAUUCCAACUUAAUAUAUCAUUUUCAUGCAUGUGAUCAAUAUAUUCGUUUUUAUAUAUAUAUAAACAUAAAUGAUUUCAAGUCUAUAAAUAAAUACUAUUUUUUGACGGAAGUUUUUUUUUUUAAAAGAAAAAAAUAGAAUCUAUUAAUUUUUUUUUUGUAAAAUCUCUAAAAAAAAAUCUAAGUAUUAUUGAAUGUCAAAAUUCCUUUUUUUUUUUUAAUCCAAAACAAACGGCCCUACGAGGUUUGGAAUAACUUUUAAAAAAUCACUUCAAAGAUUAUUGUAUCUGUUUGUUAUAAUUUUAAAAAAAAAAAAAAAAAAUCAGGAUAAACAAUAAAUCUAAAAAGAACUGCAAAUUAUAAAAUAACAUAACUUUGAGAAAAUUACAAAAUAUUUGGCACUUGUAGAUUAUACACAGGAUUAAUAUUUAUUACAACCAUACAACUAUUUUUCAGAAAAUUUCACAUUUUUAAGAUUUAUUCUUUUGUAUAGAUAAUUUAUCUUUGCUUUUUGUUUAUCUUAAUAUCAUAUUAUAAAAUAAUAUUUUUCAUUGUACCAAAAAAAAAUUGUUGUUUCAGAUUGUUAAUUAUUAUAGACAUUGAAGUAUAACUAUAAAAAACAUUGGAUAAAUUAUCAAUGAGUAAUUAAAUAAUAUAGUUGUACAAUUCAUACACGGAACUCGUAACAAGAUUUUUAUCAUCAAUGAGAUCUUGAUUAUUUAUAAUAUUUUUACAUUUUUUUCUACCACUUGAUAAUAUUUAAUAAAAACUAUUUCAAUGAUUUUAUCAUGAGCAAAUUAAUCUUUAAAAAAAAAAUCUUGGAAAAAUUACACUAACCACCCUCUUAAAUAACACAAGCACGCUCUCUAUUUUACAAACAAAAAAUUAAUCUCCCUUACUUAGUUAUCAAAAUGACAAGUUCUCCCGUUAUAAUUUAACAUGGUUUAAGUUUUGUUAAUUCUAUUUAUUUUUUAACAAUUAACUUCUUUAUACGACUAUGAACUCCCUUAAUUCUCAACCAUUUUUUAUAAAAGGAGGGGACUAGGCCAAAACCUCCCCAAACUAGACAAAAUCCACAAGUAGGCAAUCACAUAAGAUUUCUCACAAAAGGCUCUCUAAUAAACGAGGGCAAAUCUAACCAAACUAUAUAAGAGUUUAAAGACAGUCCUAUAUUAGUCAUUCAAUCAACACAAUGGUUUCAUUUCCCAUAUAUAUGAGUGAUUAUGUUUAUUUGUUUAAUCAGAAUGUUGCAAUUAUCCCAUCUAUUCUUUCAAGAACAUAUCAUCAAGGAAGAUUUUUUUAAAACAACAGAUGAGUUAGUCUAC
rnacentral:lncRNA from 1 species